UACGGAGGGGACUAGCGUUGUUCGAAAUUACUGGGCGUAAAGCGCACGUAGGCGGAUUUGUAAGUCAGGGGUGAAAUCCCGGGGCUCAACCUCGGAACUGCCUUUGAUACUGCAAAUCUCGAGUCCGGAAGAGGUGAGUGGAAUUCCUAGUGUAGAGGUGAAAUGCGCAGAUAUCAGGAGGAACACCAAUGGCGAAGGCAGCUCGCUGGGACGGUACUGACGCUGAGACGCGAAAGCGUGGGGGAGCAAACAGG
rnacentral:rRNA from 1 species